rnacentral:rRNA from 1 species
GACGAACGCUGGCGGCGUGCUUAACACAUGCAAGUCGAACGGAAAGGCCCUGCUUUUGUGGGGUGCUCGAGUGGCGAACAGGUGAGUAACACGUGAGUAACCUGCCCUUGACUUUGGGAUAACUUCAGGAAACUGGGGCUAAUACCGGAUAGGAGCUCCUGCUGCAUGGUGGGGGUUGGAAAGUUUCGGCGGUUGGGGAUGGACUCGCGGCUUAUCAGCUUGUUGGUGGGGUAGUGGCUUACCAAGGCUUUGACGGGUAGCCGGCCUGAGAGGGUGACCGGCCACAUUGGGACUGAGAUACGGCCCAGACUCCUACGGGAGGCAGCAGUGGGGAAUAUUGCACAAUGGGUGGAAGCCUGAUGCAGCAACGCCGCGUGCGGGAUGACGGCCUUCGGGUUGUAAACCGCUUUCGCCUGUGACGAAGCGUGAGUGACGGUAAUGGGUAAAGAAGCACCGGCUAACUACGUG